UGGGGAAUUUUGGACAAUGGGGGAAACCCUGAUCCAGCCAUCCCGCGUGUGCGAUGAAGGCCUUCGGGUUGUAAAGCACUUUUGGCAGGAAAGAAACGUCAUGGGUUAAUACCCCGUGAAACUGACGGUACCUGCAGAAUAAGCACCGGCUAACUACGUGUCAGCAGCCGCGGUAAUACGUAGGGUGCAAGCGUUAAUCGGAAUUACUGGGCGUAAAGCGUGCGCAGGCGGUUCGGAAAGAAAGAUGUGAAAUCCCAGAGCUCAACUUUGGAACUGCAUUUUUAACUACCGGGCUAGAGUGUGUCAGAGGGAGGUGGAAUUCCGCGUGUAGCAGUGAAAUGCGUAGAUAUGCGGAGGAACACCGAUGGCGAAGGCAGCCUCCUGGGAUAACACUGACGCUCAUGCACGAAAGCGUUGGGAGCAAACAGG
rnacentral:rRNA from 1 species